rnacentral:rRNA from 1 species
GGUUAAGCGACUAAGCGUACACGGUGGAUGCCCUGGCAGUCAGAGGCGAUGAAGGACGUGCUAAUCUGCGAAAAGCGCCGGCGAGGUGAUAUGAACCUUUGACCCGGCGAUGUCCGAAUGGGGAAACCCAGUGCAAUCCGUUGCACUAUCGUUAACUGAAUACAUAGGUUAACGAGGCGAACCGGGGGAACUGAAACAUCUAAGUACCCCGAGGAAAAGAAAUCAACCGAGAUUCCCCCAGUAGCGGCGAGCGAACGGGGAGCAGCCCGGAGUCUGAAUCAGCUUGUGUGUUAGUGGAACGGUCUGGAAAGUCCGACGGUACAGGGUGAUAGUCCCGUACACGAAAGCACACAUGCUGUGAACUCGAAGAGUAGGGCGGGACACGUGGUAUCCUGUCUGAAUAUGGGGGGACCAUCCUCCAAGGCUAAAUACUCCUGACUGACCGAUAGUGAACCAGUACCGUGAGGGAAAGGCGAAAAGAACCCCGGCGAGGGGAGUGAAAAAGAACCUGAAACCGUGUACGUACAAGCAGUGGGAGCCUCUUUAUGGGGUGACUGCGUACCUUUUGUAUAAUGGGUCAGCGACUUAUAUUCUGUAGCAAGGUUAACCGUAUAGGGGAGCCGAAGGGAAACCGAGUCUUAACUGGGCGUUAAGUUGCAGGGUAUAGACCCGAAACCCGGUGAUCUAGCCAUGGGCAGGUUGAAGGUUGGGUAACACUAACUGGAGGACCGAACCGACUAAUGUUGAAAAAUUAGCGGAUGACCUGUGGCUGGGGGUGAAAGGCCAAUCAAACCGGGAGAUAGCUGGUUCUCCCCGAAAGCUAUUUAGGUAGCGCCUCGUGAACUCAUCUUCGGGGGUAGAGCACUGUUUCGGCUAGGGGGCCAUCCCGGCUUACCAACCCGAUGCAAACUACGAAUACCGAAGAAUGUUAUCACGGGAGACACACGGCGGGUGCUAACGUCCGUCGUGAAGAGGGAAACAACCCAGACCGCCAGCUAAGGUCCCAAAGUCAUGGUUAAGUGGGAAACGAUGUGGGAAGGCACAGACAGCCAGGAUGUUGGCUUAGAAGCAGCCAUCAUUUAAAGAAAGCGUAAUAGCUCACUGGUCGAGUCGGCCUGCGCGGAAGAUGUAACGGGGCUAAACCAUGCACCGAAGCUGCGGCAGCGACGCUUAUGCGUUGUUGGGUAGGGGAGCGUUCUGUAAGCCGUUGAAGGUGUGCUGUGAGGCAUGCUGGAGGUAUCAGAAGUGCGAAUGCUGACAUAAGUAACGAUAAAGCGGGUGAAAAGCCCGCUCGCCGGAAGACCAAGGGUUCCUGUCCAACGUUAAUCGGGGCAGGGUGAGUCGACCCCUAAGGCGAGGCCGAAAGGCGUAGUCGAUGGGAAACAGGUUAAUAUUCCUGUACUUGGUGUUACUGCGAAGGGGGGACGGAGAAGGCUAUGUCAGCCGGGCGACGGUUGUCCCGGUUUAAGCAUGUAGGCGGAGGUUCCAGGUAAAUCCGGUACCUUAUUAACGCUGAGGUGUGAUGACGAGGCACUACGGUGCUGAAGUGAUAAAUGCCCUGCUUCCAGGAAAAGCCUCUAAGCAUCAGGUAACACGAAAUCGUACCCCAAACCGACACAGGUGGUCAGGUAGAGAAUACCAAGGCGCUUGAGAGAACUCGGGUGAAGGAACUAGGCAAAAUGGUGCCGUAACUUCGGGAGAAGGCACGCUGAUGUGUAGGUGAAGCCCCUGCGGGUGGAGCUGAAAUCAGUCGAAGAUACCAGCUGGCUGCAACUGUUUAUUAAAAACACAGCACUGUGCAAACACGAAAGUGGACGUAUACGGUGUGACGCCUGCCCGGUGCCGGAAGGUUAAUUGAUGGGGUUAGCGGCAACGCGAAGCUCUUGAUCGAAGCCCCGGUAAACGGCGGCCGUAACUAUAACGGUCCUAAGGUAGCGAAAUUCCUUGUCGGGUAAGUUCCGACCUGCACGAAUGGCGUAAUGAUGGCCAGGCUGUCUCCACCCGAGACUCAGUGAAAUUGAACUCGCUGUGAAGAUGCAGUGUACCCGCGGCAAGACGGAAAGACCCCGUGAACCUUUACUAUAGCUUGACACUGAACACUGGUCCUUGAUGUGUAGGAUAGGUGGGAGGCUUUGAAGCGUGGACGCCAGUCUGCGUGGAGCCAACCUUGAAAUACCACCCUUUAAUGGCUGGUGUUCUAACGUAGACCCGUAAUCCGGGUUGCGGACAGUGUCUGGUGGGUAGUUUGACUGGGGCGGUCUCCUCCCAAAGAGUAACGGAGGAGCACGAAGGUUGGCUAAUCCUGGUCGGACAUCAGGAGGUUAGUGCAAUGGCAUAAGCCAGCUUGACUGCGAGCGUGACGGCGCGAGCAGGUGCGAAAGCAGGUCAUAGUGAUCCGGUGGUUCUGAAUGGAAGGGCCAUCGCUCAACGGAUAAAAGGUACUCCGGGGAUAACAGGCUGAUACCGCCCAAGAGUUCAUAUCGACGGCGGUGUUUGGCACCUCGAUGUCGGCUCAUCACAUCCUGGGGCUGAAGUAGGUCCCAAGGGUAUGGCUGUUCGCCAUUUAAAGUGGUACGCGAGCUGGGUUUAGAACGUCGUGAGACAGUUCGGUCCCUAUCUGCCGUGGGCGCUGGAGAAUUGAGGGGGGCUGCUCCUAGUACGAGAGGACCGGAGUGGACGCAUCACUGGUGUUCGGGUUGUCAUGCCAAUGGCAUUGCCCGGUAGCUAAAUGCGGAAGAGAUAAGUGCUGAAAGCAUCUAAGCACGAAACUUGCCCCGAGAUGAGUUCUCCCUGAGACUUUAAGUCUCCUGAAGGAACGUUGAAGACGACGACGUUGAUAGGUCGGGUGUGUAAGCGCAGCGAUGCGUUGAGCUAACCGAUACUAAUGAACCGUGAGGCUUAACCUU